GAUGAACGCUAGCGACAGGCCUAACACAUGCAAGUCGAGGGGUAACAGGGAAGCUUGCUUCCGCUGACGACCGGCGCACGGGUGCGUAACGCGUAUGCAACCUACCCUUUACAGGGGGAUAGCCCGGAGAAAUCCGGAUUAAUACCCCAUGGUACCAUAAUACCGCAUGGUAUAUUGGUUAAAGAUUCAUCGGUAAAGGAUGGGCAUGCGUAAGAUUAGUUUGUUGGUGAGGUAACGGCUCACCAAGACUGCGAUCUUUAGGGGUUCUGAGAGGAAGGUCCCCCACACUGGUACUGAGACACGGACCAG
rnacentral:rRNA from 1 species